rnacentral:rRNA from 1 species
GAAACAGGAGCAGCGGCUGAGAAAGAGACAUGUGGGUGCGUUCAAUCGAGAGAGAGAGAGGAGGUGGGGCGUAGGGGAAGGGGUGCGUGCGUUUGCCGAAUGGGGGCAGUGCUGGAGCGGCAGCGGAGCGGCGGUGGCGCGUGGCCCGUUGGUCCUUAGGCGCUGGCGGCGGGAAGCUUAGCGGCGCUCUACUACUGGAGGGCCGCCCGGUCGUCGCCGUCGUGGUCGUCGUCGACGCGCGAGACGCUCCCUAGGUUGGAGGGGAGGACGACGCGGCGCACGCAGUUGUGCUCCGACAAGCUCAUGGUGCGCUGCGACGCGGACUCCUCCUUGGAGGCGCUGUGGGAGGUCAGAGCGUAGCGGCGCGCGGAGCUCCGGUUCUCCUUUCGCCUCCUCGUCUCCUACACCUUUGACUCGUUUCGAGUGCUGUAGUUCCUCGACUCCCUAGCCGAGUCGCUCAAUUUCUCAGCUUGACGCAAUCUCUUCUACUUCUAGUUCGUCCGUAGCUCACUAGAGUUCCACUUUUCACCAUGUAACUUACACCGGAAAUAGUGCGAUUUUUGCUUCGUUUGGCUAAGUAGUUGCUACGUGUGGUUACGGUACUUUCGUCGUGUCUACCCAGAAUACCGUUGUUGGAGGCUUGCAGACUUUGCAGUCAGGUUUCGACAUUUCGUCGAAACGUCCAACAAGGGUUACUCCGCUCGAUAAUAUCUACCUCUUUUCUUCCUACCAGUGUCACUAGGCAUGCUACAAUAUACACCACAAGCAGAUGGAGCACCAGAGCUAGGUGUAAGUCAAGGUAGUCUCCUCAAUAGUCGAAGGAACCCCAUGUACAACGUUCAGGAGUCGUAACGUUAAGUAUAGGAUAGGCGUGGUCGGGAAGUACAUCGGCCAAAACCCCGAAGAACAAGUGCACAUACCGUCGCCUCAUCGAUGACCUCGUGUGCUGUUAGGGUCUCGUUCCAAAUGGGUGAAAAACACGGUUCCGUUUUAUUAACAAGACAACCUCUCCUUUUAAGUACCUGUCUUUCACCAAGCCCAUCGAAACCACAACUAAGACACCUGAGCCUAGUCUUUAGGGAAAAACUGAGGUUCUCUUCGUUAUCGAAGUUGAAGAGUCGGCGUAGAAGAGUGAGGUAACUCUCCGUAGUUCUGAACGUUUCUCCCUAUAGAAAUGAUUUUUGUUCACACAGACGGUAGUGACGGAUGAUGAUAUUGAGUAACCCGAACCUACACGGUGGGUUAGAAAGAUGAAAGCUACGUAAACGUUUCUACGAGGUAUACAACAGUAGAAGUUUCUGGGAAGCUCGACGAGAACUUAGUUUAUAGCGGAGUUCUAGUCUUUUCGUCCGUGUUGUCGAUUUGUCUAGUUAUACCUUCCGCUCAAGCCGGUAGAGUAGGUUGUCGUCAUACGACCUGUCGUGCGUGUGUCGAUAGUACGGCUCGAGAGAUCUAUUGGAGGAGGACUUGAGCUUGUGCUCAAAGAACAUGUGGCCAUUCGGCGGCUUCGUGCCACCUCGUGUUCUGUCGUAACAGCUGCCCACCCUAUACCAUCUCGCACUCUAGGACGGCGGCGGCGGCAGGGUCUAGCUCCUGUAGCGCGUCACCCUUUCUCGGGUGUGGAUGCGGGCGUCACCAAGAUUUUUCUUUACUGAACGUAUUACAUUCGAAAAUCUUGUGGCGUUCUUCGAAGUCGAUCUACCUAUCUACCUACCUACAGACUAGUAUACCAAAACCAAACACAUACAUAUCUUCUUUCGAUUGGUACCGGAUACUCAAUACGUCUUCUUCUCUUCCCGUAACAUCCCAUCUUGGCUAGUCGAGACGGGGGGACAUGUCGUGGACAUUAAACAUUUAUAUGGACAUAUGUAUCGUAAAUGACCGUUACUUAUUUAUACCAUGAUCGACUUUACAAUGACGAGAAAGGACAUAGUCUUUAACUUC